UCUUGAUACAGGAAUUAUAAUAAUAACUAUAUUUAUUAUUGCCUCUAGGGCAUAAUUCCAACACAAUUCACGGACGAAUUCGGUUUCAAAAAACUGUGUAAGGGGCUACAAAGUUCCCUCUCUUCUUAGGCCAACCCCUCUACACACCACACCUAGCCCACCUAGCCACAUCCCGCGACCGGAGUCAUCCGAUCGUGAUCGGAGGGUGAUAAAAUGGGUCAAAACCACUAACCCUAGCCCCAUUUGCUAUAAAUAGACCCCUAGCCCUCUAUGCAUCGUUUUUCGUGUGCAGCCACUCCCCAAUCGGCAGCC
rnacentral:lncRNA from 1 species